rnacentral:rRNA from 1 species
GACAGAGGGUGCAAAGCGUUGCUCGGAAUCACUGGGCGUAAAGGGCGUGUAGGCGGGACAGUAAGUCGGGCGUGAAAACUCCCGUGGGCCGUCAACCCAGGAAUCAUGCACUCGAAACUACUAUUCUUGAGUAGUCGGAGAGGAAAGCGGAAUUCCUGGAUGUAGAGGUGAAAUUCGAUAGAUAUCGAGGAAGAACACCCGUGGCUAAGGCGGCUACU